CGCGUAGGCGGCGCGGUAAGUCACUCGUGAAAUCUCUGAGCUUAACUCAGAACGGCCAAGUGAUACUGCAGUGCUAGAGUGCAGAAGGGGCAAUCGGAAUUCUUGGUGUAGCGGUGAAAUGCGUAGAUAUCAAGAGGAACACCUGAGGUGAAGACGGGUUGCUGGGCUGACACUGACGCUGAGGCGCGAAAGCCAGGGGAGCAAACG
rnacentral:rRNA from 1 species